rnacentral:rRNA from 1 species
AUUGAACGCUGGCGGCAUGCCUUACACAUGCAAGUCGAACGGCAGCACGGGUGCUUGCACCUGGUGGCGAGUGGCGAACGGGUGAGUAAUACAUCGGAACGUACCUUAUCGUGGGGGAUAACGCAGCGAAAGCUGUGCUAAUACCGCAUACGCCCUGAGGGGGAAAGCGGGGGAUCGAAAGACCUCGCGCGAUUAGAGCGGCCGAUGCCUGAUUAGCAUGUUGGUGGGGUAAAAGCCCACCAAGGCGACGAUCAGUAGCUGGUCUGAGAGGACGAUCAGCCACACUGGGACUGAGACACGGCCCAGACUCCUACGGGAGGCAGCAGUGGGGAAUUUUGGACAAUGGGGGCAACCCUGAUCCAGCAAUGCCGCGUGAGUGGAGAAGGCCUUCGGGUUGUAAAGCUCUUUUGUCAGGGAAGAAACACCGGCUCUAACACAGUCCGGGAAUGACGGUACCUGAAGAAUAAGCACCGGCUAACUACGUGCCAGCAGCCGCCGUAA